rnacentral:rRNA from 1 species
GACGAACGCUGGCGGCGUGCUUAACACAUGCAAGUCGAACGGAAAGGCCCUGCUUUUGUGUGGUGCUCGAUUGGCGAACGGGUGAGUAACACGUGAGUAACCUGCCCUUGACUUUGGGAUAACUUCAGGAAACUGGGGCUAAUACCGGAUAGGAUCUCCUGCUGCAUGGUGUGGGUUGGAAAGUUUCGGCGGUUGUGUCUGGACUCGCGGCUUAUCAGCUUGUUGGUGGGGUAGUGGCUUACCAAGGCUUUGACGGGUAGCCGGCCUGAGAGGGUGACAGGCGACACAGGGACUGAGAGAAGGCACAGACACCUAAGGGAGGGAGAAGUGGGGAAUAUUGAACAAUGGGCGGAAGCCUGAUGCAGAAACGCCGCGUGCGGGAUAACGGCCUUAGGGGUGUAAAACGCUUUCGCAUGUGACGAAGCGUGAGUGAAGGUAAUGGGUAAAGAAGCACAGGCUAAAUAAGUG